UACGUAGGGGGCUAGCGUUGUCCGGAAUCAUUGGGCGUAAAGCGCGUGUAGGCGGUCCGGUAAGUCCGCUGUGAAAGUCGGGGGCUCAACCCUCGGAUGCCGGUGGAUACUGUCGGGCUUGAGUACGGAAGAGGCGAGUGGAAUUCCUGGUGUAGCGGUGAAAUGCGCAGAUAUCAGGAGGAAUACCGGUGGCGAAGGCGGCAUCCUGGACCGGCAUUGACGCUGAGGAGCGAAAGCUAGGGGAGCAAACGGG
rnacentral:rRNA from 1 species